ensembl:lncRNA
CAUUGCACGUGUAAACACAUGAACACUGGUCUGUCUGCAGGUGAAUGGAUGCAAUGUGACCUUGGUGUCAGAUGACGUGGCUAUGAGCAUCCUGCGUUCGUCCUCAAAACACCUCAAUAUGGUUCUCGGACGUGCUGUACAGAACCUCAUUGCUCCGCCCCCUCCAGAAUGCCUGCCCGACAUCAUUCUGCACAAAAAACCCAGUGGACAGCUUGGGAUCAAACUGACUGGGGGCAUCGGCAGCAAGUGGCAGGGCAUCUAUGUGGUGGAGGUGGUGCCUAAUUCCCCCGCAAGCGAAGAGGGCAGUAUUCAACCAAAUGACAAGAUCCUAUACAUCUGCGGCAAGUGCACCAUGGGAAUGUCCCUGGAAGAUGCCGUAAAGAGCUGUGAGAACACAACGCACAAAGUGAAGCUGAAGGCUCUGAGAGAAGACCAGCCUGUGACACCCAAGGCAAAAUGGAAUGGUAUGUAUUCACGUACAUUGACUAUUUGCCAGUAUAAAAUGUAUUAA